rfam:Caenorhabditis elegans chromosome V
UGUUACGUGAAAGUUGAGUCUAGACCUUCUUUCUCAUCCUUAUACAUUUUCAUCAGAUACGCGUCUAGAAAAUCGUCUGGCUCGUCAUGAAGUACA